UCCACCCUAGAGUGGCAGUCUCGGUAGAAAAUUUAACUACCGAUAGGGGUUACGCUCGUUGCGGGACUGAACCCAACAUCUCACGACACGAGCUGACGACAGCCAUGCAGCACCUGUUCAUGUGCCCCGAAGGGAGCCCUCUUUCGAAGGAUGUCACAUGUAUGUCAAACCCUGGUAAGGUUCUUCGCGUUGCAUCGAAUUAAACCACACGCUCCGCUGCUUGUGCGGGUCCCCGUCAAUUCCUUUGAGUUUUAACCUUGCGGUCGUACUCCCCAGGCGGACCACUUAUCGCGUUAGCUACAACACACAAAGGGUCGAUCUCCAUGCGUCUAGUGGUCAUCGUUUACAGCUAGGACUAC
rnacentral:misc_RNA from 1 species